UCUUUCAGCCAGCUGCUUUAAUUUAGUUAGCCAACUUCUCAGUUUAAAGACAGUCUCUGCCAGCAAAAGAAUAUCACUUUCAUCUCUCAGUCAGACAAACAAAAUACAUCAUGAACAAAAGUUUUAUUUAUUUUUAAUCUUAGAUUGGUUUUGCUUUUAUUUUUGCCAUUCUCAUGCAGCAAAUGAGAUUUGUUUUAGAUAACUUUUUCUUUUUUUCUUUUUCAUUGUGGCAGUUUGGGGAAAAGCAAAAAGAAAAAAUAAUUGUGACUAUGCUAAAGAAGGUUUAGGGAUGGUACUAAUAAGAUGCAUACUAUUUCCAUCUACCAUGUCUGCUUAAAAAUGCAUCAAUUAAAUUACUAAUCACUGAGUGUUGACUUUGCAGCUUUCAGAUAAAGCUAUCUUUUACUGUAUUCCAAAGGAGCCCAAAUUUAGAAAAUAUAAAUGAUAAAAGUGUCUUUAAAUCUUUACUAAAUAUCAUGUCAUUUUGACACAACAUUAACUAGGGUAUGUUACAAAAGCUACAGAAUUCAGAGAAUAGCAAAACAGUUGAAGUUGGAAGGGAACUCUUGAGAUCAUUUAGUCCAGCAACCUCAAUCAAAUAACCUGCUACAGCAGGUUGUCCAGAAUCAUGUCCAGCUGGAUUUUUAAUGUCUUCACAGAUGGAGACUCUCCAGCACCUAUGGGCAGCCUAUGUUUUAUCACCUUUACAAUAAAAAGUGUCUUCUCACCUUCAGAUUGAGAAACUAAGCUGUUCUCUCUGGGUCCAUUUGUUCUUUAUUCUGUCAGAGGACACUACUGAGGAAGUCUAGCUCCAUCAACUUCAUUUCCAUCCAAGAGGGAGGAAAUCACACAAACUGACUGGAUUUUCCAGGAGCUGUUUGAGAAGCUUUCAUGGCACAAAACACAUCAGCAGACCAAUCUCUCUAAAGAUAAAUCUUUAAGAACGAAAAAUUAUGAAACGAGAUAUUCUCAUUAUCAAUACUUAGAGACCUAGAUAUCAGCAGAUACUUAGAAAAAUACAUGGACUAGACAGAGUUCAUUUGCAAACAAAAAGUUUGAAUCAAACUAUAGUAAACAAAAUGAAACAUGGAAAGGAACCUGCCUAGAAGACCUAAAGCAAAGAUUCUGCUUUGAAAACUAGAUGAUGAAUAUGAAUUUCUGGUUAAACAUCUCAAAGCGAUUAACGUUAUAUCUUUUAAAAUGUGGGUUCUCAAAGGCAUAGCCUUGUUUGCAAGGAAGUGGAUGAACUUUGAUUCAGUUCUGGAGACUUUAUGUGCAUAUUAAAAAGCUAAUAAGAAACAAUUGUUACCUAUUGCUCUUUCCCCAGAGAAGGAAUAAGAAUGGCUAAAAGUAAAGCGAGUAGUUAUCUUAACUGAGAAAAACCUCACCACCAUAGCACAGUUAACUAAGACAUAAAAAGAUGUCAGAUUAACUUAAAAGGGAUACAGAGGGAACACUAGAUGAAAUGUUAAAUAGAUGUUUAUUGUCCAUAAAUACAUCUUUUUCUUUUUUAUCUUUUUACGUUCUAUUCCAAAUCUGCUUAGGUAAGCUAUCCUUUCAAGAUAUUUAGUAAUAAACUUAAGGUAAUCAUGAAGCUCCUUAGACUGUUCCCCUUGCCAUUAUUCUCCAAAUAUUCAGAACAACAAGAUGGUACAUCUCUACAACGGCAGCAGGUCAGUCCCAGGAAUGGCACUGCAGAAGCUGAGAAAGUAGAAGUCUGUUUCAGUGACAAAAAUAACUUGCAUUUAACAAUAUAAUGUGAAUCACCUGAGUUUGACACUGACUGAACCUACAUCAAAAGGGGAAUGUAUCAUAACUACUGCAUGUAAGGAAUUACUUGUGCUUUUUCUGCAAUUAACUUUCAUAUCUGUAUUCUAAAGAAUAGACAAAAGCCAAAAUAGAACAUUUUAGAAGAUGGAAGGCAAGUAGCUAACACAAAAACAAUGGCAAACAGCUUUUCCUGAAGAGACAAUAGUCAGAAUGAUUUGGCAUUUAUCCUCGUGUCUUACCCUACAGGUAGUUAAUGACACUAUGAGGCUACUCAAGAGGUACAGAUUUAUUUCUAAGGAUAUGGAUUUACACAUAUGUAAUAAUAGUUUUAUAUACCAUGAUGGCCACUGUCGCAUCAGAUUUUGAAAUUCGUAGCCAUCUGUAGCUCAUAACUACCUAAAAUAGAAUACAUUUAAUGACCACAUGCAUAUAUAUAUAUAUAUAUAUAAAAUGACAAAUCAACUUUUCAACAUUUCUCAUUCAGUUUUCUCAAUAGUUUAACUGUGAUCCACAGCACCUUUUAAUUGCAUAAAGUUCUUGAAUUUUGGUUAUCUUGAAUCCAGAUAACUAAAAUAAGGGAACUGGUUACGUGAGGAGUCUUCAUUUUCACAGUUCCUUCCCUUUGCAAAAUUGCUGAACAACCUACAUGCAAGGCAUAUUUUUGUGAAAUUUUAUUUGAGACUACAAACUGCUAAGGGACCGAGAAGUAAGAUUUCCAUUUUUGCUAUCUUCUCUGCUUUCUGAAACUUAAUCCACUUCACAUUUGGAAACUCUGUGAAGUCUAUCUGGCUGAGAAUGCUCUAGGCAAAUGCUUUAAAUAAACUCAUGAAUAAACUCA